UACUGGGCGUAAAGAGCUCGUAGGCGGUUUGUCCCGUCGUCUGUGAAAUCCUCCAGCUUAACUGGGGGCGUGCAGGCGAUACGGGCAGACUUGAGUACUACAGGGGAGACUGGAAUUCCUGGUGUAGCGGUGAAAUGCGCAGAUAUCAGGAGGAACACCGGUGGCGAAGGCGGGUCUCUGGGUAGUAACUGACGCUGAGGAGCGAAAGCAUGGGUAGCGAACAGGAUUAGAUACCCUGGUAGUCCAUGCCGUAAACGGUGGGCGCUAGGUGUGGGGGUCUUCCACGACUUCCGUGCCGUAGCUAACGCAUUAAGCGCCCCGCCUGGGGAGUACGGCCGCAAGGCUAAAACUCAAAGGAAUUGACGGGGGCCCGCACAAGCGGCGGAGCAUGUGGAUUAAUUCGAUGCAACGCGAAGAACCUUACCUAGGCUUGACAUAUACAGGACGGCGGCAGAGAUGUCGUUUCCCUUGUGGCUUGUAUACAGGUGGUGCAUGGUUGUCGUCAGCUCGUGU
rnacentral:rRNA from 1 species